rnacentral:rRNA from 1 species
AGCGAAAUGCGAUAAGUGGUGUGAAUUGCAGAAUCCCGUGAACCAUCGAGUCUUUGAACGCAAGUUGCGCCCGAGGCCAUCUGGCUAAGGGCACGCCUGCCUGGGUGUUGUGUGCUCUAUCUCUCCUGCCAAGGCUUUCCUGGCAUAUAGUUAAGUCGGUAUUGUGC